GAUGAAGAACGUAGCGAAAUGCGAUAAGUAAUGUGAAUUGCAGAAUUCAGUGAAUCAUCGAAUCUUUGAACGCACAUUGCGCCCGCCAGUAUUCUGCGGGCAUGCCUGUUCGAGCGUCAUUACAACCCUCAGGCCCCCGGGCCUGGCGUUGGGGAUCGGCGGAAGCCCCCUGCGGGCACAACGCCGUCCCCCAAAUACAGUGGCGGUCCCGCCGCAGCUUCCAUUGCGUAGUAGCUAACACCUCGCAACUGGAGAGCGGCGCGGCCACGCCGUAAAACACCCAACUUCUGAAUGUUGACCUCGAAUCAGGUAGGAAUACCCGCUGAACUUAAGCAUAUCAAUAAGCGGAGGA
rnacentral:misc_RNA from 1 species